rnacentral:rRNA from 1 species
GCCUACAACAUAACGUUAAUUCACAGGAUCCCAUUAGAAAUAUGCAGUUAAGUGUGCUCAGGCUAGAGUAGUACUGGGAUGGGUGACCUCCUGGGAAGUCCUAGUGUUUUAUAUGCC